AUACAGAGGGUGCAAGCGUUAAUCGGAUUUACUGGGCGUAAAGCGCGCGUAGGUGGCUAAUUAAGUCAAAUGUGAAAUCCCCGAGCUUAACUUGGGAAUUGCAUUCGAUACUUGUUAGCUAGAGUAUGGGAGAGGAUGGUAGAAUUCCAGGUGUAGCGGUGAAAUGCGUAGAGAUCUGGAGGAAUACCGAUGGCGAAGGCAGCCAGCUGGCCUAUUUCGGACGCUGAGGUGCGAAAGCAUGGGGAGCAAACAGGAUUAGAGACCCUGGUAGUCCAUGCCGUAAACGAUGUCUGCUAGCGGGUGGGGCCCUUGAGGCUUUAGUGGCGCAGCUAACGCGAUAAGUAGACCGCCGGGGAAGUACGGUCGCAAGACUAAAACUCAAAUGAAUUGACGGGG
rnacentral:rRNA from 1 species